UUAACAAAUAAUUUCGAAUAAAGAUAUCAAACUCUAGAGUUCAUUUGAAGUCAUGAAGCUUAGAUAAAAUUGAAGUCAUGAAGCUUUGAUAAAUUGGAAGUUUGGCAUGGGAAUGAAUGAUGAAUUAGGUGUAAGUAGAUUAAGUCUUGUUUUUAUUCUAUAUCUUAUGAUAUAAAUCAUUGUGAUUAUUACAUAGAUACUCUUAAUUGCCUGACAUAUUCAGGGAACCUAAAAACUACUCGAAUGUGAAAGGUGAAGAAGAAGCACCAUAACAAAAAUCAUUGUGAAUCUGUUUCUAAUCAAUUCAUCAGUAUUUUUUCAUUGAUUAAACUUGAUAAAGGUGGUGUUGGAUUAGCUUCACAAUCACAAGUGCAACAAUUCAAAGAAGCAAUUGGUUCAACUAAGUAGGAAGGGUUUCCAUCCCCUGCCAUAGUCACAAGAAUCUUGGACUCAUUAUUAUCAAUAACCACAUUACUAGGCAUUGUGCUUUAACAGGAAGAAGAGAUUGGCUGAGACGAAGGAAGCAGCUGAAGUUGAGAUUUGGAUCAGUGGUUCCAAUUUCAGGAUCUGAUUUUGUUUGAGAGGUUUCACAGGCUUCCUCUGAUGUUUGGGUGAUUGUCAUCCUUUACAAAGAUGGGUAUGCUAGAUGACAUUUCUAAGUUCAAAUUUUAGGAAAUAUUUCUGAACACCACACGUCCUCAUAUAAUAUCUAUAAAUUACUUGGUGCAUUGAAGAAUUUGUCACAAGAUAUCCUGUAACAAAAUAAAUUUGUUAAGAUAAUAUCAACUGAUUGCAUUCCCAAUCUGCCCACCGCCCACCGUAUUGGUAUACAACAAUGGAGCAGUCAAGGAAAAUUGUGUUGGCUUGUGUAGUUUUGGACGAAGAUGCACUCUUGAAGGAAUUUAAUUGAUUUUAUCUUAUGAUGCCUUUUGUGAA